rnacentral:rRNA from 1 species
CUAAGUUUGAUGGCGACCGGCGCACGGGUGAGUAACACGUAUCCAACCUGCCGAUGACUCGGGGAUAGCCUUUCGAAAGAAAGAUUAGUACCCGAUGGCAUAGUUCUUCCGCAUGGUGGAACUAUUAAAGAAUUUCGGUCAUCGAUGGGGAUGCGUUCCAUUAGGUUGUUGGCGGGGUAACGGCCCACCUAGUCUUCGAUGGAUAGGGGUUCUGAGAGGAAGGUCCCCCCACAUUGGAACUGAGACACGGUCCAAACUCCUACGGGAGGCAGCAUG